rnacentral:rRNA from 1 species
UACGGGGGGAGCAAGCGUUGUUCGGAUUUACUGGGCGUAAAGGGCGCGUAGGCGGUGCGGUACGGUUUCGGUGAAAUCCCUCGGCCCAACCGAGGAACAGCCGGGGCUACGGCCGCGCUAGACGGCAUCAGGGGACAGUGGAACUUCCGGUGGAGCGGUGAAAUGCGUAGAUAUCGGAAGGAACGCCGGUGGCGAAAGCGACUGUCUGGGGUGCCUGUGACGCUGAGGCGCGAAAGCCAGGGGAUCAAACGGG